AUUACACAUGCAAGCAUCCGCAUCCCAGUGAGAAUGCCCUUAUUGAGCACCAAGGAGCAGGUAUCAGGCACAACUACUUAGCCCAAAACACCUUGCUACGCCACACCCACACGGGCACCCAGCAGUGAUAAAUAUUAAGCAAUGAGUGAAAGCCAACCUAAGCUCGACUUAGUUAUGGUCAUUAGGGCCGGUAAACCUCGUGCCAGCCACCGCGGUUAUACUAGGGGCCCAAAACAACGGACACCGGCGUAAAUUGUGGCUAGAGCACUUUCUUACGGCACUGAAAAAUGAAAAAAGGCCUAAUCGUAAAACCUAGGCCAAAAGAAACACAUAUUUUCAACCAUAGAGCAACUUGAACCCACGAAGACUAAGAAACAAACUAGGAUUAGAUACCCUACUAUGCUUAGUUGUUAAUAUGACACAAAAAACACAACUGUCCGCCAGAGAAUUACACGCGAAAAGCUUAAAACUCAAAAGACUUGGCGGUGCUCCGUAUUCGUCUUAGAGGAGCCUGUCCUAUAAUCGAUAACCCACGCUUUACCUUACCAUCUUUUGUCAAAACAGCCUAUAUACCGCCGUCGCAAACUUACCCCAUGAGGGCACAAUAGUAAGUAAAAUAGUAACACACUAACACGUCAGGUCAAGGUGUAGCCAAUAAGAUGGAAGAGAUGGGCUACAUUUUCUAAAACAGAACACACGGCAAAGGACAUUGAAAUAAUGCCCUAAAAGGUGGAUUUAAUAGUAAGAUAGAAUAGAAAAUCUAUCUAAAACUCGCUCCGGAGCGC
rnacentral:rRNA from 1 species